UACGUAGGGUGCAAGCGUUGUCCGGAAUUAUUGGGCGUAAAGAGCUCGUAGGCGGUCUGUCGCGUCGAUCGUGAAAACUUGGGGCUUAACCCUGAGCUUGCGGUCGAUACGGGCAUGACUGGAGUUCGGCAGGGGAGACUGGAAUUCCUGGUGUAGCGGUGAAAUGCGCAGAUAUCGGGAGGAACACCAGUGGCGAAGGCGGCGAUCUGGGAAGAUACUGACGCUGAGGUGCGAAAGCGUGGGGAGCAAACAGG
rnacentral:rRNA from 1 species